ACAUACAUAGCUCAAUUGGUAGAGCAUUUACCUUCUAAGUAAAGAGUGUAGGUUCGAUUCCUACUGGAUGCA
rnacentral:tRNA from 1 species